UUUCCUGACCAUGCCGAAAAGCUAUUUGAAACUUGGGCAUUGCAUUUUCCAGACAGAAUCCUGCACUUCCCAGCCAAGAACCAGGAGCAUCAACAAAUCACCUCCAGAACCCCAUGAUGAUAUUCCAACUCCUGUCUACAAAAGUGGGAAGAAAAUCUUAAGUCUAUGUUGGGACCAACAUGGUUGCAUUCUUCUGAGAGGCUGAUGUGACAAAACCAUUCCCAUUCGUCCUUGGAUUGGAAGAAGGCGAUCUCUGCCAUCAAGCCUUCGUUGUUUUUGACAGACAGUCACUCCAGCAAUACACCCUCCUUGGUGAUGUUGACAUGUUUUAAACUUUUUUUAUGUUUUGGACAUUAAUUUUACUAAGCAGUGCACAUCAGUGUGGGUGUUUUUGAAGACUGUUGUUUACAAACUCCCAAGAACGGAAUCCCUUUCUAUAAGAAGUCUGUGUAGUUAUUUGUCAUACUAAGGUUAUAACUCAUGUUGAUCAUGUAUUGAGUGUUUGUGCAACUUUGUUUUGAUCUUAUGUGUUACAUUAACCAUUUCUUAUUACACGGUUCUCUAAAAUGCUAGAUUCUGAUUGGCCAGUCGUGACAUUCUACUACUGCUCAAAACU